rnacentral:tRNA from 1 species
AGUCACGUGGUCUAAUGGUUAUGAUUUCUCGUUCACAAGCUGAACACAACUUCCGAGAAGGUUCCCGGUUCGAUCCCGGGCGUGACUA